CCCUUAGAUGUUCUGGGCCGCACACGCGCUACACUGAAGGAGGCAGCGUGUACUCCUGGAUCGAAAGAUUUGGGUAACCCGCGAAUCUCCUUCGUGCUAGGGAUUGAGGUUUGCAAUUAUCCUUCAUGAACGAGGAAUUCCCAGUAAGUGCAAGUCAUAAGCUUGCGCUGACUACGUCCCUGCCCUUUGUACACACCGCCCGUCGCUACUACCGAGUGGGUGAUCCGGUGAACUAUUCGGACUCCGGUUAUUCCAGCAUUUGGUUUUGCUGGGGAAAGUUUCGUGAACCUUAUCACUUGGAGGAAGGAGAANUCGUANCA
rnacentral:rRNA from 1 species